CUCACGGCAACGCCAGAUCCCUAACCCACUGAGUGAGGCCAGGGAUCGAACCUGCAACCUCAUGGUUCCUAGUUGGAUUCUUUAACCACUGUGCCAUGACGGGAAGUCCGCAUCCUGUCUAUUGUUGAAUUUCCUCAGUUUUCCCCUGAUGUUCUCUCUCUGCCCUAGGACCCCCAUAACGUCCAGAGUCCACCCUGCUCCACCCCUGGGUGUAACGGUCUUGCCAUCUCUCCACAGGAGCCUGGGCUGGGCAUCUUCAGGCUGGAUGUAUCGGGGUUUUCUCAGGAUCACACUGGGGUGAUGGGUCACAGGGGUGGGUGGGGAUCUCAGGGGAAGUGCCCUUGCGACCUGUCACACCAGGGUUCCCUGCUGCUGCUCUUGACCUGCCCUCCCAGCGCUUCACUGAGAGGUUGCUUCUUUUCUACAGGGAGGCGGGUGUGUGUGGCAGCAGCGCUCAGAGACCUGGCCCGAGUGUGGAGGAGGGACUUGCAAAGACAUGUCAGGGGUUGAAUUGUGGUCCCCAAAGAUGUCCACAUCCUGACUGGUGGCACCCGUGAAUGCGCCUUUAUUUGGAAACAGGGUCUUUGUGGAUCACCUGCUAAGAUGAGUCACCCUGGAGUCGGGCAGCCCUAGUACGGUGGCUAGUGUCCUUCUCAGAGGAGACACAGAGUCACAGGGAGAGGCCAGAGACGCAAAGGCAGAGAUGGGGCAAUAUGGCCACCAGAAUGGCCAGCUACCCCAAGAAGACCUCACUCAGAGGCCACAGGAGCCGGCCUGCCAGCACCUGGACCUCUGCCUUCCAGCCCCCAAACUGUGAGAGAGGAAAUGCGUGUGGCCUUGCAUCGCCCCACCCAUAGUUCUGGGUGACAGCGGCCACAGGAAGCUCAUUCUGCCUCUGGGAACUGGGAGGCUGGGUAGAGCUUCCAGGGCUUGCAAAAUUCAUGAAAGGGAUAGUGUCUCCAUACCAGAGGGAACGUGAGCUGGGCUGUAAGCAAUCCUGAGGCCAUCUGCUCACCCGCCACCCACCUGGCCAAGGGGUCACAGGGCUGUGGGCACCAGCCAGGUCAGGGUUGCCAGGGAGCAGGCACAGAGGGGACUGCAGACCCACCUCAACUACCGAGGAGUAGAGACCCCAGUACCCCCACCUGGCGACCCCCCCAACGUGGGGCUGUCCCAUCCAGACAAUCGCUUCUCAACUGGGCAGGGAUAAGGCUGGCUCUCAAGGCCAAACCAGCAUAAUAGAGCAGCUGUUCUUACCUGGGGUGACUCUGCUACAGGGGACACUAGGGGAUGUCUGUGGUGGCUGCUUUUGUCACAGUGGGGGGCCUCCUGGCAUCUAAUGGGAGGGCCAGGGAGGCUACCCCACCCCUGCAGAGCCCAGCAGGGCUGCACAGAGGGUGCUCAGAGCUGAGGAUACUGGCUCCGACCUGCUAAUGCCUUUGUAUAUUUUCCAGGGCCAAGGGGACCUUAAGGCGGACAGUCCCCAGGAGAAUGACCCAGCGGAUAUCACUCAGUUAAACUAAAGAUUCCUGCUCUCCAGAGACGUUUCUGCAAAGAUGGACCACCAACCAACAGGCACGUAAAGAGCCACUCAGCAUCAUGGAGGAGACGCAAGUCAGGCCACUGUGAUGGGACCUUCACCCACAAGGAUGGCACUAUCCACACAAAGUUGUCACCUCCCACCCAAGCAUAACCACUGUCCACAGGUGUCACCUCCCACCCACAAGGACGGCACUGUCCACACAGCUGUCACUUCCUACCCACAAGGAUGGCACUGUCCAUAUGGUUGUCACCUCCCACCCACAAGGAUAGCCACUGUGCACACAGUGAUCACAAGUGUAGACGAGGGUGUGGGAGACUGGAACCCUUGUCCACGGCUAGUGGGAGAUGAAGCAGUGUAGCCACCGUGGAAGACAUUGGUUGAUCCUCCAAAGAGUAAAGAGAGCUAUUGUGUGAUCAGUAAUUACAUUCUAGGAAUUCCACUUCAAGAAAAUGAAAACAUGUCCACAUAAAUAUUUGUACACAAGUGCCCAACAGUGGAUGAUGGAUAAACAGUGUGGUCCCUCCACAUACGGAGCAUCACUCAGCCUGAAAAGGAGAGAAGCCCCGACACUCACUACCACAUGGAUGGACCUGGAGACCACGAUGCUCAGUGAGAGAGGCAGACAUAGAAGGACACACACAUAGUGUGGGAUUCCAUGGAUGGAAAACAUCCAGAACAGAUGCACAUCCACAGACAGAGAGUGGAUUCCUGGUUGUCAGGGGCUGGGGAAGGGUGUGGGGGUAACUGCUGAUGGGGACGGGUUUUUCUUUGUUCCUGAACCUUUUGUACAUUUUUAAUUGACUUUAAAAUUUAUGUAAAAGACUCAUUCUAUGCAGACAACCAAAUAGAAGAAAACUAAAAAUCA